rnacentral:rRNA from 3 species
UACAACUUUCAACAACGGAUCUCUUGGUUCUGGCAUCGAUGAAGAACGCAGCGAAAUGCGAUAAGUAGUGUGAAUUGCAGAAUUCAGUGAAUCAUCGAAUCUUUGAACGCACAUUGCGCCCUUUGGUAUUCCAAAGGGCAUGCCUGUUCGAGCGUCAUU